rnacentral:rRNA from 1 species
GGUGACGGCAAGCAAAUCUCUUAAAGCCAGUCUCAGUUCGGAUUGUAGGCUGAAACUCGCCUACAUGAAGCUGGAGUUACUAGUAAUCGCAGAUCAGAAUGCUGCGGUGAAUACGUUCCCGGGCCUUGUACACACCGCCCGUCAAGCCAUGGAAGCCGGGGGCGCUUGAAGUGCGUUGCCGCAAGGCGCGCCCUAGAGCGAAACCGGUGACUGGGGCUAAGUCGUAACAAGGUAAC